ensembl:snRNA U6 U6 spliceosomal RNA
UUGCUUCAACAGCACAUACACUAAAAUUGAAAUGAUACCAAGAAGAUUAGCAUGGCCUUUGGGUAACUCUUAUUUUUAGCUCUAUAAGUUAGUUUC